rnacentral:lncRNA from 1 species
AUAGCAUUGUUGCCUAGAUUUGUCGAACGACGACCUUGAAACUAUCCAUGUUGCCUUGAUUCGUUGAGCAUGUUGCCUUGAUUUUUAGAAUGAUGGCCUGAACACAAGCCUUGUGGCCUUGCUUUCUAGAACAUGUAGUCUUGAUAUCUAGAACAACAUCCGGAUAUAUACCCAUUGCCUUGAUGUAAACAUAGGGGGACCGUAGAGACGAAGAAACCACCGAGCAGUGACAAGGCGAGCCCGAAGACCCUUGAAAGAAGCACACAACAAACAUGUUGCCUUGGUUGCUCGAACGACGACCUGAAAACAUGCCAUGUAUCCUUGAUUCCUCUAACCUGUGGCAUUAAUUUUAUGAACGAUGACCUGAUUACACGCCUUGCUGCCUAGAUGUGUCGAACGAUGGCCUUGAAAGAUGCCUACCCGAACACGUUGCCUUGUUAACUAGUUCCAUGUUGCCUUGAUUUCUCCAACAUGUUGCCUUGAUAUGUUUAAGUAAAUCCUGAAAACUAGCCAUGUCGCCUUGUUUUCUCGAACGACGACCUGGAAACUAGCCUCGUUGCCUNCUGGAAAGUAGCCUCGUUGCCUUGGCUGCUGGAACAUGCUGCCUUGCUUUCUCUAACGACAACCAGAAAACUUGCAUCGUUGCCUUUUGUUUUUAGAACGAUGACAUGCCAUGUAUCCUUGAUUCAUCUAACAUGUUGCAUUAAUUUUAUGAACGAUGACCAGAUUACAGGCCUUGGUGCCUAGAUCUGUCGAACGAUGGCCUUGAAAGUUGCCUACCCGAACAUGUUGCCUUGUUAAGUAGUUCCAUGUUGCCUUGAUUUCUCCAACAUGUUGCCUUGAUAUGUUUAAGAAAAUCUUGAAAAAUAGCCAUGUUGCCUUGUUUUCUUGAACGACGACCUGGAAACUAGCCUCGUUGCCUUGGCUGCUGGAACAUGCUGCCUUGCUUUCUCUAACAACGACCAGAAAACUUGCAUUGUUGCCUUUUGUUUUUAGAACGAUGACAUGCCAUGUAUCCUUGAUUCCUCUAACAUGUUGCAUUAAUUUUAUGAACGAUGACCUAAUUACAGGCCUUGGUGCCUAGAUUUGUCGAACGAUGGCCUUGAAAGUUGCCUACCCGAAUACGUUGCCUUUUAGACUAGUUCCAUGUUGCCUUGAUUUCUCCAACACGUUGCCUAGAAAUGUUUAAGAAAUUCCUGAAAACUAGCCAUGUCGCCUUGUUUUCUUGAACGACGACCAGGAAAAUAGCCUAGUUGCCUUGGCUGAGGGAACAUGUUGCCUUGUUUUCUCUAACGACGACCAUAAAACUUGCAUUGUUGCCUUGGCUGCUCGAACGAUGACCUGAAAACAUGCCAUGUAUCCUUGAUUCCUCUAACAUGUUGCAUUAAUUUUAUGAACGAUGACCUGAUUACAAGCCUUGCUGCCUAGAUCUAUCGAACGAUGGCCUUGAAAGUUUCCUACCCGAACACAUUGCCUUGUUAACUAGUUCCAUGUUGCCUUGAUUUCUCGAACAUGUUGCCUUGAUAUGUUUAAGAAAAUCCUGAAAACUAGCCAUGUCGCCUUGUUUUCUUGAAUGACCCACGAUGCCUUGAUUUCUUGAAUGACCCCAAGCUCUUUGUGCAAUAUGUAUAUAUAGGGGAAGGGUGGGAGUGACGCCCCACAGGCGUCCCGAAGGCGGGUGGGCGACCAGCGACGUCGAGGCUGCUACGACCAAGGGCAAAGCCAAGGCAAGGCCAUCGGCCAAGCUCACCGGUGGUAUCCAAGUCGCGAUUUGCGUUUGGCUGGUGAAACCGGAUCGCGACCAGCCACUCCUCGACGAGAUCCUCGCAAGCGACCCAUUUUCACCGAUGAAAAACUUGAUCGCGACCAAAAUUACCCCACGUCGUGCUAGUUCCAAAAAAAUUAUGCAUGAUAUGGAAAAUCAAUGUUUGUUCCUGUCACCAAGCUCUUUGCGCAAUAUGUAUAUAUAGGGGAAGGGUGGGAGUGACGCCCCACAAGUGCCCCAAAGGUGGGAGAGCGACCAGCAACGUCGAGGCUGUUACGACCAUGGGCAAGCCAAGGCAAGGCCAUUGGCCAAGCUCACCGGUGAUAUCCAGUUCACGAUUUGCGUUUGCUUGGCGAAACCAGAUCGCGACCAGCGACUCCUCGACAAUAUCCUCGCAAUCGGCCCAUUUUCACCGAUGAAUAAUCUGAUCGCGACCAAAGUUGCCCCACGUCGUGCUAGUUCCAAAAAAUUAUGCAUGAUAUGGAAAAUCAAUGUCUGUUCCUGUCACCAAGCUCUUUGCGCAAUAUGUAUAUAUAGGGGGGACCAUGAAGACCGAAGCCACCAAAGAGCAUCAAAAAGGCAAGCCCCAAGACCUGUGAAAGUAUCGCACCCCCCAACACGUUGCCUUGAUUGCUCGAACGACGACCCAAAAACUAGUCCCGUUGCCUUGAUUCCUCGAACAUGUUGCCUUACUUUGUCGAACGAUCACCUGAUGAUGAGCAUCGUUGCCUAGAUUCGUUGAACGACGACCUUGGUUGCCUUGAUAUCACUAACGACGUUGCCUAGAUUUAUCGAACGAUGGUCCUGAAAGAUGCCUCCCCCAACACGUUGCCUUGUUAACUAGUUCCAUGUUGCCUUGAUUUCUCCAACACGUUGCCUUGACAUGUCGAACGAUGUCCUGGAAACUAGCCCUGUUCUCUUUAUUUCUUGAACAACGAUCUAGAAAGUAGCCUCGUUACCUUGAUUGCUGGAACACGUUGCCUUGAUAUCUCUAACGACGACCUGCAAAACUAGCAUGGUUUCCUUGAAUACUGGAACACAUUGCCUAGAAAACUUGCCUUGAUGACCUGAAAACUAGCCUUUUGUGGCCUUGGAUUCUUGAACGAUGACCUGAAAACUAGCCACGAUGGCCUGGAAACUAGCCACGAUUCCUUGAUUUUCCCCGACGUCGUGUGCAUACGAAAAAUUAUGCAUCCUCAGGGAAAUCAAUGUCUGUUCCUUUCACCAAGCUCUUUGUGCAAUAUGUAUAUAUUGGGGAGGGCAUGGUUGCUGAAUCGACCAUCGAGCAUCGUAAGGGCAAGCCCCAUGUGACAACCCAAGUUGUUCCGUUACAUUUUCCCCGUUCCUAUCAACGGAAUAUUCCAGUUUAUAAAGGUUCCGUUAAUUAGAGGUCGUCAAUUAAAUAAACAUUUCAUUUGUUUAUUAUUUAAUAGGCCGUUAAGUCGUGAUAAAAGGGAAUAAAAACACACAUGAUACAUUUCCAUUUAUUUGGAAAGUGUUAAGUUUUAUUAUUACGACCCCUAAAUCGGGUGCGACCAAAAGCCCCGUAUAACGGCAGUAUUGGCUAGAAUUCCACUGAGCUCCAACUCCCACCCAUAUAUAAAGGGGAGUAAACUCCAUUUGGAGCUUUUCCACCCUCUCUCUCUAUACUCUCUCUCUCUCUAGGAUCGUUUUCGACUAAAAAACCGCGAUUUCCGACUCCUAAACGUAAGACUAUCAACCCUAACUUGUUCUAUGCGUACAUUAUUGUCUUUUUAGCCUAAAAAUCACAAGAUUGAGACAUGAAAAAGGAGUUUACGGCCUAAGUGCCUCCUUAGGCCAUACACCCCCAAAAGAUGGCCAAAAUGACUCAAGAAUGUCCCUAAUGGCUUGGAAAUAAAUCAAGGGAUUUGCCUAGGAGUGUUUAAACAUUAAAUCACAUGAUUUUAGGGCAUAAAAGAGAGUUUACGGCCCAAGCACUUGCUUAGGCCGUAAACACCUCUUAAUCAUGUCUAAAUGUCCCAAAAUCACUCCCAAACCACCCUUGGGCUUAAUACAUAAUUUAGGGACUUAGUAUUUUGGAUUUAGACCAUUAAAACAUAAUGAAAUGAAAGGGAAAAGGGAGUUUACGGCCCAAGUAUGUACCAAGGCCGUAAACACCCCUAAAUGUGCCAAAAGUAUGGUUUUGCCCCCCAAAUGACCUUAGACUAUUUCUAUAAAAUGCUAGGAUGGAUUUAAAGGCUUAAACUCAAAGAAUGGUGGGUGUAUGAGAAUUCACGGCCAAACCAUAGAGCUUACUGCCGUAAACUCUCAAGGGUUGGUCAUUUGGACCAUAAACUCUAAAGGAGACCCCUUUUGGAAUCCUAAACACCCCUAUAGCCUUGAAUAAAUUACUAGAAGUGAUAUAAGGGCUUGAAACUUCACAAAACUCAAGGGAUGAGAGUUUAUGGCCGUAAACUCCCUUAGGAGUUGUCCCUAGUCCGUAAACUCCAUUAUAGUGCCCUUAAAGACCCUAAACCCACUCAUGCCUUUUGGAAUUGGACCUAGAAUAAUUCCAUGAACAAGUAGAAGCCUUAAAACACACUAGAUACCCUCACCAUGAGUUUACGGCCGUAAACACAUGGUGAGUAGUCCAUGGGCCGUAAACUAAGUUGUAAGGGUUUACUCUCGGAGAGUAAACUCCAUUCCUAAGUCAUACACACCCUUAGACGCUACUCGGGACACCCAAACACUUAACCAAAGUGUUUUCCGCUCCUUUGAGUGCGUAUACAUGUUUAAUUAGUAUUAAAUAUAUUAAUUGUAUGUGAACAUAUGUUAUCAUAUGUUAAAUAGGUCAUAGAGUGUGUUCGAGUCCUUACGUGACACCAAACGCCCAAACGACACCUUCGUCGGACCUACUUACACCAGGUGAGUUCAUACCCCUGAAUGAACCUUUUAAAUGUUUUUACAUGUUUUAUAGGGGGGAAUACAAGUUAAACAUGCCAGUUAUCAUAUCAAUCACAUGUGAUUGAUAACCCGCAUGCACAAGAUUUUACCACAUUGAAUACUGUUUUACCAAGUAGGACACUAUAAAUGGUUUUCUAAAAGGUUUUCACUUGUUCAAAGUUCUUACUUUUACUGUUUUGUCAAAGUUUCAUUUCAAACUGAUUUAUGAAUGAUUUCCAAAGAAUUUCUAAAAGCUUUACAUCAAACUUGUUUCACAAAGGAAUACCAAGUCGUGAUUUUCUUAAAAUAUAAAGGUUUUCUAAAGUUUACGCCUAUGUUUUUAUACUUCUACUCGUUAACGUUUCCACUUCGAGAUACACUUAUACUUGAUAACGUUUCCACUUCGCGAUACGAUCAUACCUGAUGGACGCUUAUACUUGUUCACACUCUUACUUAGAGAUAAGUGUCUACUUCAUUUAUACAUGAUAUCGUUCCUACUCCACUUAUACUUGUAGUCGCUUAUACCUGAUAGACGCUCUAACUUCACUUAUGUCGUCUCUAUUUCGUGAUGCGCUUAUACUUGUUCGACACUCCUACUUCACAAGAAUCACUUUCACUUGAUACACACUCAGUCGUAGUUAGAUGUAUGUCUGUGCUCAUGUAGAUACAUAAGUAAUGAUUGAAAGACUUAGGAAGGUUCGUUCGCCCUAUUUCCUUUUCUUCAUUGAGAUGUGGUCUGGUGGGAUCGGAUGUCUGUCCGAAGGUCGUUUGGUUCAUUAGUUAUAUACUAUGUAUAUGAGUAUGGGCGUAUAGGAAUGCUCUAGUCGAUUCAGUUAGGAGUCUCUACCUCUAGUCUACACUUACAUUAGAAACACACUACCCACUUUUUGGAAGUCUCUACCCCCUAUUUGGGAUGCAUCUUCAGGACACGGCCUUCCCCGUCGUCUAGUUGGUAACCAGAGUCUUCUGUAGGGAGAGCGGACAUUGUGUGUAUAGAUCUAUACGGGAUUGACAACCCCGCACCCAGACUGCUAGCUACAGUCCCGGCCUACCAAGCCAACGGGUGACAAAUGUCACAUCUUAUAGACGCUUGUAGGGCGUCUGGAACUCUAGUCAGUAUGGUUACGAGUAUCCCGGGUUACCUUAUAAUUCAUGGCUUUAAGGUAACGGUAUUUCACCGGCAAUCUACACUGUAUGCUGGUAACUCAUUUUCAGAGUCACACUGUUUGACCUUACAAGACGUAUCUUUCAUUUGAUACUGUAUGGGGUCUGUUUUCUCUGUUUUGACCUUACAAGACGUAUCUUUCAUUUGAUACUGUCUGGGGUCUGUUUUCUCUGUAUUCACUGUAUUCACUGUUCUGACCUUACAAGACGUAUCUUUCAUUUGAUACUGUCUGGGGUCUAUAUACACUGUUUGAGACCUUACCAGCAGUACUUUUCAUUUGGUACCUUCUGGGGUCUGUGACUCUAUUUGUUAGACUGAACCAGGCGUGUCGUUCGUUCGAUAGUUUCCUGGAGUCUAUGAUUCCUUGCCUUAGUCAGCAGUCCUCACUGCUGAGGCAUAUGUUAUUCCCUGAUGUCGUUUGCUUUCCUCAAUAAUCAAUUUUAGUAUUUUGAUAACGAUAACAAUUUAGGGAAAACUACUUUUUACCACAUAACACUGACCAGUCUUGGUAGAAGGCUGCUUUUAUUAAAGAAAAUAUAGGAUUUUCUGGAAAGAACUCUAAUGCACUGUAAACACUUAAAAUAUUACUUCAUAACAUUAUUUGACUAAAUGACACUAAAAUACUUAUGAACUCACCAGCAUUUGUAAAAAUGCUGAUACUCGCUUUUCAAAUAACUUGUAUUCUCAGGUCAGCAAUUAGACAGGUACACCCCUGAGCUGUUGAUGAAGAUGGAUUAGUACCUUGCUGUACUUAUUAUAUUUACUUGUGCUACUUUGAUACCUUGUAAUGUAACCAUGUAAAAUUAUUAUUAUUAAUGCAAUGUUUUGUUGUACUUUGAUUACUAUAUGCAUGUGUUGUGAUACUUGACAUGACGUCAUCCACCCCAGAACGUUUCCGCCGUUCCGGUGUUGGGGUGUGACACCCCAAGACCCGUGAAAGAGACCUCCCCCAACACGUUGCCUUGAUUGCUCGAACGACGACCCAAAAACUAGCCACGUUGCCUUGAUUCCUCGAACAUGUUGCCUUGAUUUGUGGAACGAUGAACAGAUGACUAGAAGCGUUGCCUAGAUUUGUCGAACGACGACCUUGAAACUAGCCCGGUUGCCUUGAUUCCUUGAGCAUGUUGCCUUGAUUUUUUGAACGAUGACCUGAAAACUAGCCUAAUGGAAAACAUGGGUGCUAUUCCUCAUUGCCUAGACAUAUAUAUUUAGGGGGACCAUAGAGACGAAGCAACCAUCUAGCACCAACAACGCAAGCCCUAAGACCCGUGAAGGAGCCCACCCCCAACGCAUUGCCUUGAUUGCUCGAAAGACGAGCCAAAAACUAGCCCCGUUGCCUUGAUUCCUCGAACGUGUUGCCUUCAUUUGUCGAACGAUGACCUGAUGACUAACAUUGUAGCCUAGUUUUGUCGAACGACGACCAUGAAACUAGUCCUGUUGCCUUGGUUCCUUGAGCUUGUUGCCUUUAUUUUUUGAACGAUGACCUGAAAACUAUCCUAAUGGACAACUUGUGGGAUAUUCCUUAUUACCUUGACGUAUAUAUUGGGGGGGACCAAAGAGACGAAGCAACCAUCAAGCACCAACAAGGCAAGCCCCAAGACCCGUGAAGGAGCCCGCCCCCCAAAGCGUUGCCUUGAUUGCUCGAACGACGAGCCAAAAACUAGCCCUGUUGCCUUGAUUCCUCGAAUGUGUUACCUUAAUUGGUCGAUCGAUGACCUGAUGACUAACAUUGUUGCCUAAAUUUUUCGAACAAUGACCUUGAAGCUAGUCUUUUUGCCUUGAUUCCUUGAGCUUGUUGCCUUGAUAUUUUGAACGAUGACCUGAAAACUAUGCUGAUAAACAACCGGGGUGUGCUAUCCUCGUUGCCUUGACGUCUAAUAUGGGGGGGACCAUAGGGACGAAGCAACCAUGGAGCACCGACAAGGCAAGCCCCAAGACCCAUGAAGGUUCCCACCCCCUAACACGUUGCCUUGAUUGGUCGAACGGCGACCUAAAAAAAAGCCAUGUUUCCUUGAUUCCUCGAACAUGAUGACUUAAUUUUUCGAACGAUGACAUGAUGACUAGCAUUGGUGCCUAGAUUUGUCGAACGAUGACCUAAUGACUAACAUUUUUGCCUAGAUUUGUCGAACGAGGACCUGGAAACUAGUCCUGUUGCCUUGAUUCCUUGAGCUUGUUGCCUUGAUUUUUUAAACGAUGACCUGAAAACUAUCCUGAUGGACAACCAGGGUGUGCUAUAAUCGUUGCCUUGACGUCUAAUAUUGGGGGUACCAUAAGGACGAAGCAACCAUCAAGCACCGACAAGGCAAGCCCCAAGACCCGUGAAGGAGCCCACCCGCAAACACGCUGCCUUGUUUGCUCGAACGACGACCUAAAGAAAGCCCUGUUUCCUUGAUUCCUCGAACAUGUUGCCUUAAUUUGUCGAACGAUGACAUGAUGAAUAGCAUUGUUGCCUAGAUUUGUCGAACGACGACCUUGAAACUAUCCAUGUUGCCUUGAUUCGUUGAGCAUGUUGCCUUGAUUUUUAGAAUGAUGGCCUGAACACAAGCCUUGUGGCCUUGCUUUGUAGAACAUGUAGUCUUGAUAUCUAAAACAACAUCCGGAUACCUAUACCCAUUGCCUUAAUGUAAAAAUAGGGGGACCGUAGAGACGAAGAAACCACCGAGCAGUGACAAGGCGAGCCCGAAGACCCUUGAAAGAAGCACACAACAAACAUGUUGCCUUGGUUGCUCGAACGACGACCUGAAAACAUGCCAUGUAUCCUUGAUUCCUCUAACCUGUGGCAUUAAUUUUAUGAACGAUGACCUGAUUACACGCCUUGCUGCCUAGAUGUGUCGAACGAUGGCCUUGAAAGAUGCCUACCCGAACACGUUGCCUUGUUAACUAGUUCCAUGUUGCCUUGAUUUCUCCAGCAUGUUGCCUUGAUAUGUUUAAGUAAAUCCUGAAAACUAGCCAUCUCACCUUGUUUUCUCGAACGAUGACCUGGAAAGUAGCCUCGUUGCCAUGGCUGCUGGAACAUGCUGCCUUUCUUUCUCUAAUGACGACCAGAAAACUUGCAUUGUUGCCUUUUGUUUUUAUCACGAUGACAUGACAUGUAUCCUUGAUUCUUCUUACAUGUUGCAUUAAUUUUAUGAACGAUGACCUGAUUACAGGCCUUGGUGCCUAGAUUUGUCGAAUGAUGGCCUUGAAAGUUUCAUACCCGAACACGUUGGCUUGUUGACUAGUUCCAUGUUGCCUUGAUAUGUUUAAGAAAAUCCUGAAAACUAGCCAUGUGGCCUUGUUUUCUUGAACGACGACCAGGAAACUAGCCUCAUUGCCUUGGCUGAGGGAACAUGUUGCCUUGUUUUCUCUAACGACGACCAUAAAACUUGUAUUGUUGCCUUGGCUGCUCGAACGAAGACCUGAAAACAUGCCUUGUAUCCUUGAUUCCUCUAACAUGUUGCAUUAAUUUUAUGAACGAUGACC